AGGGAUAUAGCUCAGUGGGUAGAGUGCUUGCCUUGCAUGCACAAGACCCUGGGUUCAAUCCUCAGCACCACCA
rnacentral:tRNA from 1 species